rnacentral:rRNA from 1 species
UACGUAGGGUGCGAGCGUUAAUCGGAAUUACUGGGCGUAAAGCGUGCGUAGGCGGUUCCUCAAGUCCGUUGUGAAAGCCCCGGGCUCAACCUGGAAUGGCAUUGGAAACUGGCUGGCUAGAGUGUGGCAGAGGGGGGGUGGAAUUCCGCGUGUAGCAGUGAAAUGCGUAGAGAUGCGGAGGAACACCGAUGGCGAAGGCAGCCCCCUGGGCUAGCACGUGACGCUCAGGCACGAAAGCGUGGGGAAGCAAACAG